rnacentral:rRNA from 1 species
CUUUACUGACGCUAAAGCUCGAAGGUGCGGGUAUCGAACAGGAUUAGAUACCCUGGUAGUCCGCACGGUAAACGAUGGAUGCCCGCUGUUCGCGAUAGACUGUGAGCGGCCAAGAGAAAUCGUUAAAGCAUCCCACCUGGGGAGUACGCCGGCAACGGUGAAACUCAAAGGAAUUGACGGGGGCCCGCACAAGCGGAGGAACAUGUGGUUUAAUUCGAUGAUACGCGAGGAACCUUACCCGGGCUUGAACUGCAGGUGAACGAUCCAGAGAUGGUGAGGUCCUUCGGGACACCUGUGGAGGUGCUGCAUGGUUGUCGUCAGCUCGUGCCGUGAGGUGUCGGCUUAAGUGCCAUAACGAGCGCAACCCUUUUCGUCAGUUGCCAUCAGGUGAUGCUGGGCACUCUGGCGAUACUGCCACCGUAAGGUGUGAGGAAGGUGGGGAUGACGUCAAAUCAGCACGGCCCUUACGUCCGGGGCUACACACGUGUUACAAUGGGUGGUACAGAGAGUCGGUGCAUGGCAAUAUGCAUCCAAUCCUAAAAGCCAUCCUCAGUUCGGAUUGGGGUCUGCAACCCGACCCCAUGAAGCUGGAUUCGCUGU